rnacentral:rRNA from 1 species
UACGAGAGGCCCAAACGUUAUUCGGAUUUACUGGGCUUAAAGAGUUCGUAGGCGGUUCGACAAGUGAGGUGUGAAAGCCCUCGGCUUAACCGAGGAAUUGCGCUUCAAACUGUCGGGCUCGAGGGAGAUAGAGGUGAGCGGAACUGAUGGUGGAGCGGUGAAAUGCGUUGAUAUCGGAAGGAACAUCAGUGGCGAAAGCGACUUCCUGGACCAAUACUGACGCUCAUGUGCGAAAGCGUGGGGAGCAAACAGG